rnacentral:lncRNA from 1 species
GUUAGCGUAUCUACAUGAGGAUUGCAGCCAAAAGAUAAUUCAUUUGGACAUCAAACCACAAAACAUCCUUCUGGAUCAAUAUCUCAAUGCUAAGAUAUCAGAUUUUGGGUUGUCGAAGCUAAUUGAGAAAGACAAAAGCAAAGUCGUGACUAGAAUGAGAGGAACACGGGGUUAUUUAGCCCCUGAAUGGUUGAGCUCGGUAAUCACUGAGAAAGUUGAUGUGUAUGCUUUUGGAAUUGUCCUCUUGGAAAUUCUCUGUGGGCGGAAGAAUUUGGACUGGUCCCAAGCUGAUGAAGAAGAUGUCCAUUUGCUAAGUGUAUUUAGGAGAAAAGCGGAACAAAAGCAACUCAUUGAUAUGGUUGACAAAAACAACGAAGAUAUGCAGCUCCACAGGGAAGCAGUGACUGAAAUGAUGAGCCUCGCUGCAUGGUGUCUACAGGGUGAUUUUUCCAAGAGGCCUUCCAUGUCAUUGGUGGUUAAGGCAUUGGAAGGUUUGGUCACUGUUGAAACCAACUUGAAUUAUGAUUUCACACAUGUACCUGAGGUUGGGGCAGGCAACCAAGAGAGGGAAGUCAUUAUCAGUUCAAUAUUUCCUUCAAUUUUAUCAGGACCUAGGUAAACAAAUUGUUGAAUGCCUUGAAUUGGACCCGCUACAAACAUCUGUUGAUUCUGUAUGUUGGGCCCAAGCCUGUUAGGGCGUAGCUUAGCACUAUAUAUAGACGCUAUGGGAAACCCUAUUCUGUAAUUCUGUUUUUGCCUCUCCAUAAUAAAACUGCUCCCUCUCUUCCCGUGGACGUAGCCAAUUUAUUGGUGAACCACGUAAAUCUGUUGUCUUGUUUUUCGCGUUUAUAUUUUCUCGUAUUAUCUCAAAUUCCGCACAUCACAAAUCCAUAGGUUUUUGUCUUUGAAGCAACCAAUUUAUUGCUGCAUAAUGUCAAAUAUCCAACAUUUUCAAUUCUAGCAUAACUUUUUUACAGUGUAUGAGAUUAUAAUUCAUAAUGUUCAGUAACUUCUAUAUUAAAUUUUUGAGCUUCAUGUUACUAUCGUGUAGAGGGAUCUCAAUUCAUGUGCGAGUAUAAGUAUGCUGUCAGCUUUAUUGUGUUAUGCUAUCGGAAAAGCUUAUUUCUCUUCAUCUAAUCUUAGAACAUUUAAUUUUCCAAAAGCUUCCGUGCUGUCAUUUCUGUUGAGUUGUAAGUUGUAACACUCUUUCCAGCAAUCAUUUUCCAAAUCCACAAUUUAAUUUCACGUUUUACCACUGAACUCAUUAUAUUUUAGUAGUUAAAAGUUUACACAAACCAGAUGAACUAUUAGUGGAUCUUUAGUUACUAACAUUCAACUUGGAAUUAUUGGGCACUUUCCACUGAAUGGGAUGUGCCAUAAAUUCCAAAGUCCAAGUCAAUACAGAGAGGGGCCUCAAACAAACUUCUUCAAUGUGCUAUCUUUUUUCAAACUUUAAUAAUGGGGCCGGGUUCUAUCUUUCCACUAACGGGACCAUUUGACCAUUUCCAAGUUACAAUUUUCGUUAUUGCAGACAAAUCAAGGUCACUACGACUUUCAUUUACUUCAUGUUAUGCUUCUUAUCCUCACUCCUCUGCAUUUGAGGUGCAUGGAUUUGAUGAUUUUAACGUAGGCUAGUACAUCGUAUGUGUGUUAAACUAUUUAGUUUAGAAUUAUUCUUCAGCACCUAUAUAGACUCCCUAGUAAUGUGAUUAUGUAAGAGUGGAGUUAUUUUAAUGCUAUGAAAUGUAUCUCGAUCCCUCUUCCAUCCUCUUCAUAACCUAGCUGUGAUGAUAUUAUCAAGGGUCCGCCUUAGAUAUUUCUAACAAGACUUGUUUUUUUUUUCCUUAAUCAAUGAAUAGUGACUUAUUUAUCUCCAUCUUCCAUCUUUUUCAAUCUUUGCCUAAUCAAUACAAAAAAAAAAAAAAAAUCUUCCUCAUGCUAUCAUUUUCCAAGUUAAUUUCACUAUUUCGGAACUUUCCUCCUCAUUAACUAUGAGUCUUCCAUAAGAACCAUUCCCAUAUUGAUAUACGAUGACUUCCAAUCAAGCAGAUGUUAUCUUCCAAUUGGUUAAGUGAGACGUGUGAUUUGGGAAACAUUUCCUUUUGACUUGACAGUAAAUGAUUCACAAAAUUGGGCAUAACUGAACUCCACACGUUUCAAAAGUAUUCCUAGCCACAGCAUUCAUUAUGAACUACUGGAAGAUGCUAGCUGACCUACAUGUAAAAUACAGUUUGGUUCGAAAGCUAGCAGGAUACUGUUUAACGCUAGAUACUUAGCUCGAAUAUGACUACCUCAGCUUUCAAUAAAUAACAAUUGAACCAAAUUGUUAUGUAGCAGCCAACAGUAACAAAUUAAAGAUAAUAAAUAGAAGAAUAUAGGAAAAUGCAGUCUCUUUUCUUCCUAAAGGAAACCAAAGCAAAUAUAAAUAUCAAUGUCACAAUCUUUACACUGAUGGGACCAUUUUGACCAUUUCUAAGUUACAAUUCCGUUGUUGUUCAACCUUGCAGACAAGUCGAAGUCACUAGGACUUUCAUUUACUUUGUGGAUUGGACGUGAGGAAAGCUUAUCAUCCGAUUGUUAUGGUUAAUGUGAACUGAUUUAUGGAGAAAAUUACAAUUACAGAUAUCACUUUGGAUAUUCUGUAUGCUCAUAUCUUUCUUCAACUAUACACAAAAAAAAUCCAUAUAUUUUAUUGAUUUUGAUUAGGAAACAAUGUUUGCAGAAGAGAGAAUGUGUUUUCCUAUCCUUCUCUUCAUUUAUCUCCUCUUAUCUUUGUCUCGAUUUGUUAUAUCACAAUCUUUCCUACACUACAACAUCAGUCUUCCGAAUUCUACUGCAGGGCAUGCCGGACUUUCCUCUUUAUGGAUCAAUAGGCCGUCUCUUAUUAUUAAUUCCACCACCGAUGGCUUCUCAAUGCCCAUACUUCAGCGGGGAAAUGCUGGCCCACGAUUCCUCUAUGGCUUCUACUGCAGGUACAAUGCCACAGAAUGCCUUCUUGGUAUCGUUUUGUAUCACAACAAAUACAACGAGCAGGACGGUAUAGUAAAUGAACCCCAGUUAGUUUGGUCUGCUAACAGGAACCGUCCAGUGAAAUUCAAUGCAACCUUGGAACUAGGCCAAGAUGGCAACUUGGUCUUGACAGACUCUGAUGGCACUCUUGUUUGGUCCACUGAUACAAUUGGGAAAUCUGUUUCUGGCUUAAACUUAACAGAAAUGGGAAAUCUUGUGCUCUUUGAUAAGAGAAAGCGCAUAAUUUGGCAGUCUUUUGAUCAUCCUACGGAUUCUUUGCUUCCAGGGCAAAGUUUGGUUUCUGGCCGGAAGAUCGUAGCAAGCGUUUCAGCAACCAAUCGGAGUCAAGGUUUGUUUGCUCUUACUGUUCUCAAUGGAAGCUGGGCUGCUUACAUGGAUACUAAUCCGCCUCAAUAUUACUACACUUCAUACUAUGCUGAUAGUUCUUAUUACAGUUUUAAUGGUCAAACCUUUACUAUUUUACACUAUCCUACUAACUCGACAGCUCAAUUCAUGAAGAUUGGUCCUGAUGGACAUAUAAAGGUAUACCAAUGGUCUGAAGUUGUAUCUGACCUUUUGCCGCGAUUUGUAGAUAAAUGUGCAUACCCAAUGGUAUGUGGAAGUUAUAGCAUUUGUACAAAUAACGGGCAAUGUACUUGUCCGUCACAGGAAAACUUCUUCAGGCCAUUUUCUGAGAGGAAACCAGAUCUUGGAUGUUCACAGCUGACUUCCGUUAACUGCAACUCCUCGCAGUAUCAUAGUUUCGUAGAGCUCAAGAAUACUACAUAUUUUUCAUUUUACAUUGAUCAGGAACUAAAUUCGAGCAAAUUAUGGCUUGGGCAGACAAAGUUGGAAGAUUGCAAAAGGGCCUGUCUGAGUAACUGUUCUUGCAAAGCUGCUGUUUUUAGAUAUGGUUGGAAUGGGACUCGAAGAGGAAACUGUUUGUUACUGAAUGAAGUUUUCUCUCUCAGAGACAGCGAUGAAGGAAGAGGCAAUACAGUGUUUCUUAAGGUGCAGAAUUCCUCAAAGGCGCAGACUCAGUCUCUAAUCAUUCCUGGAGGAAAGAAAUCAAGACCUUUCAAAGUGAUAAUAGGAUCUACUCUUGCAGCUUUCUUUGGGAUAAUUUUAAGCACAGCUACUUGCUUUGUUAUUUUCAGAAAGAGGACACAUGAGUCCAGAAAGGCUGCGGAUAUUUUGGAUCUAGCACCAAUCUUACCCGGAAUCCUAACUCGAUUUUCUUACAAUGAGCUAAAAAUAAUUACAGAAGAUUUCAGUAGAAAGCUGGGGGAAGGAGGAUUUGGCUGUGUUUAUGAAGGAACACUGAGAAAUGGCACUAAAAUAGCUGUGAAGCAUCUGGAUGGUGUAGGUCAAGUAAAGGAAUCAUUCUUAACAGAGGUAAAGGCGGUCGGUGGCAUUCACCAUAUCAAUCUGGUAAAACUCAUUGGAUUUUGUGCCGAAAAAACCCACAGGCUUCUAAUCUAUGAGUACAUGGUGAAUGGAUCGCUGGAUAGGUGGAUUACACAUGAAAAUCGACAAAAUGGGCUUACGUGGAGCACAAGACAGAGGAUAAUAUCAGAUAUCGCCAAAGGGUUAGCGUAUCUACAUGAGGAUUGCAGCCAAAAGAUAAUUCAUUUGGACAUCAAACCACAAAACAUCCUUCUAGAUCAGUACUUCAAUGCUAAGAUAUCAGAUUUUGGGUUGUCGAAGCUAAUUGAGAAAGACAAAAGCAAAGUUGUGACUAGAAUGAGAGGCACACCGGGUUAUUUAGCCCCUGAAUGGUUGAGCUCAGUAAUCACUGAGAAAGUUGAUGUUUAUGCUUUUGGAAUUGUCCUCUUGGAAAUUCUGUGUGGGCGAAAGAAUUUGGAUUGGUCCCAACCUGAUGAAGAAGAUGUCCAUUUGCUAAGUGUAUUUAGGAGAAAAGCGGAACAAAAGCAGCUCAUGGAUAUGGUUGACAAAAACA